CGUGGCGGUUUGAGCUCUGGUGCUUGCGCCGUAGGUUUCUUAACGGUGAACUCGCACGUCACUGCUUCAACUCCAUCUUGAGAUGGAGAAAAGGACAAAAGCGUCCCAUCGCUCCCUCAGCCCACGAAGCUACACGUCACCGAUGAUUUAAAAACGCCGAUGCUUUGUGAACAUCAACAUCGUAAUAACAGUAAGUCAUAGGGGCAUUUCGGUAAUCUCAGUUUCCCCAAAUCAAUGAUGUGCAUUCCAUAGCCCACCUUUACCGACUUAUCAAACCCCAUUCUGCCUGCGACUC